rnacentral:rRNA from 1 species
GUCCACGCCGUAAACGGUGGGCGCUAGAUGUGGGAACCUUUCCAUGGUUUCUGCGUCGCAGCUAACGCAUUAAGCGCCCGCCUGGGGAGUACGGUCGCAAGACUAAACUCAAAGGAAUUGACGGGGCCCGCACAAGCAGCGGAGCAUGCGGCUUAAUUCGAUGCAACGCGAAGAACCUUACCUAGGCUUGACAUGUAGAGAAAUCUCACAGAAAUGUGAGGUCCGUAAGGGCUCUACACAGGUGGUGCAUGGUUGUCGU